GUUGCGGUUAAAACGCUCGUAGUUGGAUAUUUGUUGAGAACUGCCGGUCUACCCCAGUGGUCAGCACACGGUUUGUUCUCGGCACUUUCCUGGGGAGAGUGUUUGCACUUCACUGUGUGGCACAUGAUCCAGAACUUUUACUUUGAGGAAAUGAGAGUGUUUCAAGCAGGCGCCUGUCGUGAAUACGUUAGCAUGGAAUAAUAGCAUGGGACCGCGGUCUGAAGCUGUUGGUUUUUGGGCCGUGGUAAUGAAAAUAGGGAUAGUUGGGGGUAUUCGUAUUUAACUGUCAGAGGUGAAAUUCUUGGAUUUUUUAAAGACGGACUACUGCGAAAGCAUCUGCCCAGGAUGUUUUUAUUGAUCAAGAACGAAAGUUAGGGGAUCGAAGACGAUCAGAUACCGUCCUAGUCUUAACCUUAAACC
rnacentral:rRNA from 1 species